AGAUGACUAUGUUGGUAACAGAACUCUGGCAGGAAGAGGUGACGUUGCCUCGGACAUUCAGAGUGAGGGAGACCUUUGCAGAGGACACAGAAGAGGUGAACCAGGCCAACACAAGACAGAUGGGAUGCAAGAACACUGUUGACACAUCAAUACUUCAUACAAGGCAAUAAAGCGGCUACCACCACCAUGACCACCAUGACCACCACCACCACCAUGACCACCGCCACCACCACCACCACCACCACCACCACCACCACCACCACCACCACAGCACUCAGCGUGGCACAGAAGGAACAGAGCCAGGCGGAAAACAAGGACUAAGAUCCACUGCCACUUCCAAAUAAGAGGUGAACCAGGCCAACACAAGACAGAUGGGAUGCAAGAACACUGUUGACACAUCAAUACUUCAUACAAGGCAAUAAAGCGGCUACCACCACCAUGACCACCAUGACCACCACCACCACCACCAUGACCACCGCCACCACCACCACCACCACCACCACCACAGCACUCAGCGUGGCACAGAAGGAACAGAGCCAGGCGGAAAACAAGGACUAAGAUCCACUGCCACUUCCAAAUAAGGGCAUUAUUGAGAAGUAUGGCCUGGCACUGCAAUCAUCAGGGUUCUUUGCUGGGUAUGACAUCAACAUCAACGCAGGCAUUGCCAAUUCUGUGUCGUCGCAGGCCCUCAAAUUUGUGGCCUCUCUCCUGCCAAAUACUGUGGCUUAUUUUGAUGAGGAGAAGGUGAAAGAGCGUCCCAUCACAGACACCUUCUAUGCUCCCUUUGACCUUUACAAGCCCAUUAGAGGUGGUAAGUACUUGUUAAUAUAUUUUGGUGAUAGAGAAAAGCAGGUAGACAAAAUUACAAGUAUUCAAAAUUUUUUCCUUUUUCCUUAUCUUCUAUUACUUCCUCCUCAUUGUGCCAAUUUGUUUCCUUACCUCUGCAAGUAUUGAUUAUUGUGUCUAUCUAUCCACCUGUCUGCCUGCUUGUCUAUCUGCCUGCCUGUCUACGGUCAGCGACACACACAAUCGGACCUCCUGCCGAGACACGAGCAAGAAAGUUUCCUCAUUGGCUGACGAAAUGCCCCUGGUUGUAAAGUAUGGCUGUCAUUGGCUGGAGGUCUGAUGGUGGUUGUUGAUGGCUGUAUUUGUGGUGAUGGUGAUCUAUUAUUAUUAUGUCUGUUUUGUUAUAUGUUGUGUUUAUGCAAAAUGUUUUGUGUGUUUUUGAGAAUGUGUCCUGGAAUUUUUUGGUUACAAGGAAAUGCAUAUUGAUAUACAAUGUCUCUCUCUCUCUCUCUCUCUCUCUCUCUCUCUCUCUCUCUCUCUCUCUCUCUCUCUCUCUCUCUCUCUCUCUCUCUCUCUCUC